rnacentral:rRNA from 1 species
GGUCCUCGCGUAACCAUCUGCUUUAAAGUUUGAUCAUGGCUCACCUUGGACGUAGCGGCCAGAGCUUAACACAUGCAAGUCGAGCGGGGAAGUGUUGCUUCGGUAACUGACCUAGCGGCGGACGGGUGAGUAAUGCUUAGGAAUCUGCCAUUUAGUGGGGGACAACAUUCCGAAAGGAAUGCUAAUACCGCAUACGUCCUACGGGAGAAAGCAGGGGAUCUUCGGACCUUGCGCUAAAUGAUGAGCCUAAGUCGGAUUAGCUAGUUGGUGGGGUAAAGGCCUACCAAGGCGACGAUCUGUAGCGGGUCUGAGAGGAUGAUCCGCCACACUGGGACUGAGACACGGCCCAGACUCCUACGGGAGGCAGCAGUGGGGAAUAUUGGACAAUGGGCGGAAGCCUGAUCCAGCCAUGCCGCGUGUGUGAAGAAGGCCUUAUGGUUGUAAAGCACUUUAAGCGAGGAGGAGGCUACCAGUAUUAAUACUACUGGAUAGUGGACGUUACUCGCAGAAUAAGCACCGGCUAACUCUGUGCCAGCAGCCGCGGUAAUACAGAGGGUGCGAGCGUUAAUCGGAUUUACUGGGCGUAAAGCGUGCGUAAGCGGCUUUUUUAAGUCGGGAUGUGAAAUCCCCGAGCUUAACUUGGGGAAUUGCCAUUCGAUACCUGGGAAGCUAAAAGUAUGGGAG